rnacentral:rRNA from 1 species
CCUACGGGAGGCAGCAGUGGGGAAUAUUGCGCAAUGGGCGAAAGCCUGACGCAGCGACGCCGCGUGAGGGAUGAAGGUCUUCGGAUCGUAAACCUCUGUCAGCAGGGAAGAACGGUCACUGUGCUAAUCAGCAGUGAAUUGACGGUACCUGCAAAGGACGCACCGGCUAACACCGUGCCAGCAGCCGCGGUAAUACAGAGGGGGCGAGCGUUGAUCGGAAUUGCUGGGCGUAAAGCGCUCGUAGGCGGUAUGUCAAGUCAAGGGUGAAAUCCCCGCGCUCAACGUGGGAACUGCCUUUGAAACUGGCAAACUGGAGUGUGUGAAAGGAUAGUGGAAUUCCAGGUGUAGGAGUGAAAUCCGUAGAUAUCUGGAGGAACAUCAGUGGCGAAGGCGACUAUCUGGCACAUAACUGACGCUGAGGAGCGAAAGCGUGGGUAGCAAACAGGAUUAGAUACCCCUGUAGUC